GUGUUGUAUGAAAGGAGAAAAGGUUAGCACUACCUUUGACAAGGAUGGAAGAGGCCCUCGGGCCUGACAUCAUGCAUACAGUUAAGACAUUGCCACCUACUUCAUGGCUUCUAACUAUCAUUUUUU